UACGAAGGGUGCAAACGUUGCUCGGAAUCAUUGGGCGUAAAGCGCACGUAGGCGGCCUGUUAAGUCGGAUGUGAAAUCCCUCGGCUCAACCGAGGACGUGCAUUCGAAACUGGCAGCUCGAGUAUGGAAGAGGGUCGCGGAAUUCCCGGUGUAGAGGUGAAAUUCGUAGAUAUCGGGAGGAACACCAGUGGCGAAGGCGGCGACCUGGGCCAAUACUGACGCUGAGGUGCGAAAGCGUGGGGAGCGAACAGG
rnacentral:rRNA from 1 species